CAGCAGCCGCGGUAAUACGUAGGGGGCAAGCGUUGUCCGGAAUCAUUGGGCGUAAAGCGCGUGUAGGCGGCUCGAUAAGUCUGCUGUGAAAGUCCAGGGCUCAACCCUGGGAUGCCGGUGGAUACUGUCGAGCUCGAGUCCGGAAGAGGCGAGUGGAAUUCCUGGUGCAGCGGUGGAAUGCGCAGAUAUCAGGAGGAACACCUAUGGCGAAGGCAGCUCGCUGGAACGUUACUGACGCUGAGACGCGAAAGCGUGGGGAGCAAACAGGAUUAGAUACCCGCGUAGUCCCUGUCUCUUAUAC
rnacentral:rRNA from 1 species